CUCAAAUGUUUUUUUAAACUACCUGCUUCACGGAAUUGCUUAAAACAAAUUUCACACUUGUGAGGUUUUUCUACAGUAUGCACUCUCAAAUGUACUUUCAAAAAAUGAUCUUUUCGAGUAAACUGCUUAAAACAAAUUUCUCAAUUGUGAGGUUUUUCUGCAGUAUGCACUCUCAAAUGUUUUUUUAGACUACCUGCUUCACGGAAUUGUUUAAAACAAAUUUCACACUUGUGAGGUUUUUCUACAGUAUGCACUCUCAAAUGUACUUUCAAAAAAUGAUCUUUUCGAGUAAACUGCUUAAAACAAAUUUCUCAAUUGUGAGGUUUUUCUGCAGUAUGCACUCUCAAAUGUCUUUUUAAAUUCCCUGCUUCACUGAAUUGCUUAAAACAAAUUUCACACUUGUGAGGUUUUUCUCCAGUAUGCACUCUUAAAUGUACUUUCAAAUUACUUGCUGUAACAAAAUGCUUAAAAC